GGGUAAACAGCGAAUUAAUACCGCAUACGACCUACGGGAGAAAGGGGGCAGUUUACUGCUCUCGCUAUUAGAUGAGCCUAAGUCGGAUUAGCUAGUUGGUGGGGUAAAGGCCUACCAAGGCGACGAUCUGUAGCUGGUCUGAGAGGAUGAUCAGCCACACCGGGACUGAGACACGGCCCGGACUCCUACGGGAGGCAGCAGUGGGGAAUAUUGGACAAUGGGGGGAACCCUGAUCCAGCCAUGCCGCGUGUGUGAAGAAGGCCUUUUGGUUGUAAAGCACUUUAAGCAGUGAAGAAGACCUAACGGUUAAUACCCGUUAGCGAUGACAUUAGCUGCAGAAUAAGCACCGGUUAAUUCUGUGCCAGCAGCCGCGGUAAUACAGAGGGUGCAAGCGUUAAUCGGAAUUAUUUGGGCGUAAAAGCGAGCGUAGGUGGCUUGAUAAGUCAGAUGUGAAAUCCCCGGGCUUAACCUGGGAACUGCAUCUGAUACUGUUAAGCUAGAGUAGGUGAGAGGGAAGUAGAAUUCCAGGUGUACCGGUGAAAUGCGUAGAGAUGUGGAGGAAUUACCGAUGGCGAAAGGCAGCUUCCUUGGCAUCUUACUGACACUGAGGCCUCGAAAAGCGUGGGGUAGCAAACAGGGAUUAGAAUACCCCUGGGUAAGUCCACGCCGGUAAACCGAUGUCUACCUAGUUCGGUGGGGUUCCCUUUGAGGGACCUGAGUGACGCCCACCUUACACGCCAAUUAAAGUAAAACCGCCCUGGGGGGAAGUUACGGGCCCGCAAGGGUUAAAAAACUUCAAAAUUGAAUUUGAACAGGCGGGCCUCUCCAACAAAGGCGGGC
rnacentral:rRNA from 1 species